rnacentral:rRNA from 1 species
GAUGAACGCUGGCGGCGUGCUUAACACAUGCAAGUCGAACGGUGAAGGCGGCGCUUGCUCUGCUGGAUCAGUGGCGAACGGGUGAGUAACACGUGAGCAAUCUGCCCCUGACUCUGGGAUAAGCGCUGGAAACGGCGCCUAAUACUGGAUACGAGCUGCGAAGGCAUCUUCAGCAGCUGGAAAGAACUUCGGUCAGGGAUGAGCUCGCGGCCUAUCAGCUUGUCGGUGAGGUAUCGGCUCACCAAGGCGUCGACGGGUAGCCGGCCUGAGAGGGUGACCAGCCCCACCGGGACGGAGAAACGGCCCAGACUCCUACGGGAGGAAGCAGUGGGGAAGAUUGCAUGAUGAGCGAAGGCCUGAUGCAGCAACGCCGCGUGAGGGAGGACGGCCUUCGGAUUGUAGGCCUCUUUUAGCGGGGGAGAAGAGAAUGGGACGUUACCUGCAGAAAAAGCGCCGGCUAACUACGUG